UCUGGCGUUGUUACAAUGGAUGACCGAGUUUAGGCUUCUCAACGGGCCGGGCUGAGAGCCAAUAUGAUUAUAUGAAACCUAGGUGGUGCUUUUCUGUGGACACAUGCCACAACAUGGAUCUAUUCCAAGCUUGAGGCCCAAACUAAUUCAUGCCGGGCCAAAUAUUGUCACCCAUGCAUACACAAUUAUUUAAAAUGUUGGCGGGGCAACUGGAUUGUGGUCCACUGAUCAACACCC
rnacentral:lncRNA from 1 species